ensembl:lncRNA
UUUAACGAAACAGCUGAUCUCCGGUCAGAACGCUUUGUCUCGUCAGCUUGAGGGUUUGAUGGAGAAGCAAGCUGCAAACACUGCUCUUCUCGAAGAUGCUAUCCAGCGUCUUUGUGCUCUUGAGCGAAAGUUUGACGAGCAAAGACCGCAAGAGGAACAAAGACCGCGGGAAGAGCCAUUACAUAAAAGGAUAAAGAGGGCGCACAACGUGGGCAUUGCGGUAAGUUGAGUUUUAUUUUAGCGGACAAUAUAGUAGUAAAGAUAUGUAUAAUAAAGGCUAGAUGUUUGGCCCGCACCGCAUUUGGCGGACAUCUUACCACGGGGAGCUCGCUCGCUCACUCGUAGUAUUGUAUUUCAAUGGUGCAUGCACUUUUAAAUAACAAUAACUUGCUCCAUUUUCUACCGAUUUUCAAACGGUUUGGUUUGUUAUAAACGUUAGAGAUGAACCUGUGACACUUAGGGUGGCCAUUCGUGCCAGUCCCGCCAGACACACCCGAACAUGUUUUCAGGUGCGUUCUCCGGAAGUCGCGUUGGUCGACCGCAUACGUCAUCGAGGUUCUCACAUUUCAGUUAAAAUACAUUAGAAAAUUAAGAUUUAUUUCUUUUAAGACAUACAAUCAUUGUAGUUUCAUUUUUACCUUGAAAUGUAACGGUUGCUUUUCUGAAAUUGAACCCGAAAUAUUAAACCUUGAUGACGUAUGAGGGUCAAUUAUUUUUGACCCUUUCGUUGUUGUAGUUGUCCGGCCUUUUAACAGUUUGUCACGUCUGUAAGUUACACAACGUCGUUUGAAAACUUUUGUUUCCAGCCAAUGUAACGUUAUGUGUGCAUGUAUUAAAGCGUUUUUCAUUCAAUGUUACAGGAAGCUGUAAGGCGCCUUCACAAUUCGGAAAACAACCCACAUAAAUAUGAUCCACAAACUGGAAUAAGUUCGCCUCGUAACCAAGCAGUCAUGACUUAUCUGCUAGAGGAAUUGAAAACAACUUUUGCAGAUGCAGACCCUGAGUGUAUACAAGCGUGUUGCAAGACAUACUUUGAAACACUUCGGAGAAAGUACAAUUUGUCUCAGCCAGAAAAGUCCCAGCUAAGAGAUGCCAUUAAAACAGGAGCUAAAAACCGACAAAGGAAAAGACGGUUGCUGGAUUCCAGGUCCAAGGUUGUUCAAACCGAUGCAGAGAGAGAGCUUUGGCAGACUGCAACAGUGGAGCUGAUGUCUGACGAGGAGGAUGCCAUUGUUGAUGGAAGGCCAGUGUGGAUUGUGAGGUCUCCAUCUCACAGGAACCCACAAUUGUCAGAACUUUGUGAGGAGCUUCAGCGCAGAUUGGAGGCAGACAUGCGCUACACUAUUUUGCAUCAUCAGCGUGUUAAGGCUGAUGGAAAUGGACAUGAUGGACCUUCCUUUCUUCAACUUUAACUAAACUGCACUGGUUUUGCAAUUUUAAUAAUUGCACCACAAACUGCACAUUUUCACUUAUUCUCUUCUAUUUUAUCUUAUUCUUUGUAUACUUAUUAGGUUAGAUUUAUUUAGUUUCAUAUUCUGCAACUUAUUUUCUUUUAAUAUUGUUUGUGUUUGCUGUGUUUGGUUACAUUUUAAAUACUUUGUGCUGUGUGUACAUAUUAAGUAGAUUAUUUAGUUUUAUAUUCUGUAACUGUUAUAAUAUUGCUUGUGUUUAGUAAAAUUUUAUAAAAGUACUUUGCUUUGUGUACAUAUUAUUUAGUUUUAUAUUCUGUAACUGUUAUAAUAUUGCUUGUGUUUAGUAAAAUUUUAUAAAAGUACUUUGCUUUGUGUACAUAUUAUUUCGUUUUAUAUUUUGUAACUGUUAUAAUAUUGCUUGUGUUUGGUUAAAUUUUAUAAAAGUACUUUUUCCCCUGUACAGUUCCUAUAGUUUUAUUUAUAUAUUCAAUGCUUUAUUUAUAUAUUUAAUGCUUUAAGUGUUUUGGUUUAAUUUUAAUAAAAAGAAAUUCUGAAUCCAUUCUGUUUUCCAUUUUUGAGGGGGUUGGGUUGUAUAGUGGGUGGGGUGGUUAUGGUUUAUUAACAUAGCUGGCCAAAACCAAUCAAGUCACUAUGCUAUGAGGGCUUGGGUUGGGCUAAAUGAAAACCGUGACCAAUCAAAUACUAGUAUCAGGAAAUUGACAGGUCACUGUCCCAAUAGUUGUCAGGGUUUGGGGUGUGUUUUUUUAAAACAACCAAUCAAUGUUGAGAAAAAACACCAAUAAGGACAGCAGAGGUGUGUCAAGGUGUGAAGUGAAAGGGCUCUUGAGGUGUGAAAAUGUCUCCUGACAACAUUCUUCAGGGGAUUACUUGCCAUGGCAACAAAUGGCUGCAUAUACCACGGGGAUAUCCCUUCAGCAAGAUACAUCCGAAUUGGUAUCAUUACGGGAGUUUCCUAACUUGGUGGAAUUAGAAGUUUACCCUCAGUGGAACUAGUAGAUACUUCCGAAAAUCAGUGGAGUAUACAGGAGUUUCCUAGUACGGAUACACCUCUUUUCAUGCAGUGUGAGCACUGCAAAGAAAACUCACAGAGUUUAUUAGUAGACACAUAACCACCAGCAAUUUACACAAAAGUAUAUACAGAAAGGGUUAUUCCCACUGCCUCCUUUUAGUCCAGACCAUCAGUAAGGUGGUUGCUAUGAACAUAGAACCAGCCAAAAACAUUAUAGGUCCAGCAUAGGAGACUGUUAUGAGAGAGGUUUCCACCUAACCUCGAUCAGGUGGAGAGCUGGUGACAGGGGAAUUAGGAAGGGGAGGAUAAAGGCAGAAGUAAAAAAUCCCUAAAGGGAACGAGUAGAUACCUCGGUAUCGCUCUGAUUCAGACGAGAACGCUGCCACGUCUGGAUCACAUCCCUUAGGUUCUGCUUACCUCCUUGUGACCCACAAUUCCUCUUACCCCUGCCCGCAGGUGGGGGAGGAGCGCGAGUAGCUACACUAGCCUUCUGUGCUAGUCUUUGAUCCUCAGAUCGAGACAGGCCAGGACCCCUAUGUUGUUUGGGCUCAGACCUGGACCUUCGUGGAACGAAGGAACUGAAAGCAGUGGAGUGCACCUUCGUCUCCCCGAACUUCUCGAUCACCGUCUCAACGGAAAUACUGAAAAGUUCAGAAGGCGAAACCUGAGCAUCGAGAAGAAAGCCUUUUCUUUCUUCCCGAUGUCUGCCAGGUUCAUCCACAGAAGUCUCUCUGCUACCACCAUGGCCGCCAUAGUCCUGUGCAUGGCAGAGGUGGCCUGCUUGGUAGCCUGGAGAGAGAGAUCUGUGGUGUGGCCGAGCUCGGCUACCUGAUCAGGAAAAAGGCCUUCGCCUCU